GUGUAAAUCCUUGUCGAAGUGCCGAUAAAAAGAGAAAAUUGUUAAACCUUAGCAGUAAGCAUCGGCCGCCGGCAGAAAAGAUAUGGGAAGGGGAGGACGCGGCAGCGGUGGUGGUGGAAGGAGGUCACUUUCGUCGUCGUUCGAUCGAGAGCUUCGCGGCCACAUUGAGUCCUGUAAGAACAAUUAUCUAUCCGUUGAAGAUCUCGUCAACCACCUCCGUUCAUCUUAUCACAAGUAUUCCCGCGAAAAGUUACUGCCGUUUACUAAACGGGUCCAAGAUGUUCUACAGUUCCAGACCUCUAACCCUAACUCAAUUGAAGAAGUAACGCCUCCGAAAAAGAAGCCAAAAAGAGACAGCAGCGAGCAGCGUUUGCAGCUCCUUGAGAAGAAACACAUAGUGAAUAGCCAAAAAAAAAAGCAGGAAGGGGACGGUUCGUCGUCAACGACUCUCGCCAGUACCUCCGAUAGUGAUGAUUCUUACUCUUCUUCGUCUUCCGAUGCUAUUUACGGAGAGAAAUUGGAAGAAAAGCCCGAUUUAAUGAAGUCUAUGCUUCGGCAUACCUACAAUCAACAGGUGAAUAAUACUCCCCAGUCAAAAAAGAUUGAAUACGAGAUGGUUCAUGACAAUAAUAAUGAAAAAAGGAAGAAUGAUAUGUCUAAAGGAGGACAACGAAGAAACAGAGCCACUAGGGAUUUAGGAGGAGGAGGACGAGAGGGGGAAAGGUUUGGGGAUAGUGAUGGGAAUGUUGAUGGGCCAAGGUUUAAGGAUUUAGGAGGAAUGGAUGGAGUGUUGGAGGAAUUGAAAAUGGAGGUGAUUGUUCCAUUGUACCAUCCUCAGCUGACUAAGCAUCUUGGAGUUAGGCCUAUGUCAGGGAUACUCUUACACGGCCCACCAGGCUGUGGUAAAACAAAGCUAGCUCAUGCUAUCGCCAAUGAGACUCGAGUUCCAUUCUACAAACUUUCUGCUACUGAGUUGGUCUCUGGAGUUUCAGGUGCAUCAGAAGAGAACAUAAGGGAACUGUUCUCAAAAGCAUACCGGACAGCACCUUCUAUUGUGUUUAUUGAUGAGAUUGAUGCAAUUGCUGCCAAAAGAGAAAAUUUACAGAGAGAAAUGGAGCGGCGUAUUGUAACACAGCUGAUGACGUGCAUGGAUGAGUCACAUAGACUUGUAAAACCUGAUGAAGCAGAGGGAACUGCUCUACCCACUGAUAAAAGAAAUAGUGAAGCAAAAUCAGAUGGAUCUAAUGGUGGACCUGGCUAUGUCCUAGUAAUUGGGGCCACAAAUAGACCUGACGCUAUUGACCCAGCAUUGAGGAGGCCUGGACGAUUUGACCGUGAAAUCGCCUUGGGUAUUCCAGAUGAAAAUGCUAGGGUGCAAAUUUUGUCUGUGCUUACUCGUAACCUAAGAGUUGAAGGUGCGUUUGAUCUCAUGAAGAUAGCUAGCUCAACCCCAGGAUUUGUUGGAGCAGACUUGGCUGCUCUAACUAACAAGGCAGGUAACUUGGCAAUGAAGAGGAUAAUAGACGUGAGGAAGGCUGAGCUUUCAAGAGAAUUGUCAGAUGGUGAGGAUACCGAAGAAUGGUGGAGAAAGCCAUGGUCACCUGAAGAGAUGGAAAAGCUCAGCAUUUUUAUGGCUGAUUUUGAGGAAGCAGCUAAAUUGGUUCAACCUUCAUCUAGAAGAGAAGGUUUCUCCGCUAUCCCAAAUGUAAAGUGGGAAGAUGUUGGAGGCCUUGAUUCGUUAAGACAUGACUUUGACCGUUACAUUGUCAGGCGUAUAAAGAAUCCUAAAGAUUACAUGGGUUUUGGAGUGGACUUGGAAACAGGAUUCUUGCUUUAUGGCCCCCCAGGAUGCGGUAAAACAUUAAUUGCCAAGGCUGUUGCUAAUGAAGCUGGAGCAAAUUUUAUACACAUUAAGGGACCUGAAAUUUUGAACAAGUAUGUUGGUGAAAGUGAGCUAACUAUUCGGACAUUAUUUACCCGUGCAAGGACAUGUGCUCCAUGCAUUCUAUUCUUCGAUGAGAUGGAUGCCUUGACAACUAAGCGUGGUAAGGAAGGAGGUUGGGUCGUUGAAAGGCUUUUGAAUCAGCUACUAAUAGAACUAGAUGGUGCCGAUCAGCGAAAAGGUGUUUAUGUGAUUGGUGCCACAAAUAGGCCUGAAGUCAUGGACCAAGCUAUUCUUCGACCUGGAAGGCUAGGGAGACUCCUAUAUGUCCCUCUACCUAGUCCAGAUGAGCGUGUACUAAUUUUAAAAGCUCUUGCCCGGAAAAAACCUAUAGAUUCUAGUGUCGACUUGAUGACCAUUGGAAGAGAUGAUGCCUGCAAAAAUUUUAGUGGAGCAGACCUAGCAGCACUGAUGAAUGAAGCUGCAAUGGUUGCACUUGAAGAUAAAUUGACAGCCAUGGCCACAAGUUGUGGUGACACAUCAUCGAUUAUUAAGGAGUCACAUUUCAAACGCGCUCUGGAAAAAGUUUCUCCAUCUGUCUCCGACGAGCAAAUAAAAUACUAUCAGAAAUUAUCAAAAGACUUCAGAGCAGCAUGAAAGCCUUGGUGAAGGGAGUGGAAAGAAGAUGCUUAGGGUGGUGGUCAUAUGGAGCACCUCUAGCCAUGGCAGAAGUUGCACGAGAAAUAUUUUGGAUAUUGCUGUUUCUUUUUGGUCGUCUUGUGAAUAUCCUUGAGCUAUAGUGCGGUGGGAGCAACAGAGUGGAGAGGGGGGAGCAGAAAAGUCUUUAAAUCUUUCCUCUCUCUUUUUUUUUUUUGGUUCUCUCUCCUUUUUUGUGGUUUUGGUUGGAUGGAGUUUGCAAUUAAAGAGAAGCUCUCAGUGUCCGUGGAGAGUUCAAUGGAGUAAUGUAAAAGAGGAACUUCUUUUGUGGAUAUGAAGAAGAGUUGGAACUUGGAAAUAGGGGCGUGCGGUACUUCGGUUGGGUAUUUCGAUUUUUUGGAGCGUACCGAAACUUCGGUUCAGUAUUUCGGAUUAAACCAUCAAUCUUCGAAUUGUUGCUCCAAUUGUAGUAUUAACUUUUGGUUCAAUUUUUCCGUUUCAACACGUGCAUUAGAUUGAUU